UGUCCCUUUGGCUCCAGCAGCACCUCUCCUCUCCUGUUCCCAUGGGGACUUCUUAGGAUUUAAAGGGACUGAAAAAGGAGAUCGAGGUGAGCAGAGUUAAAGAGGAAGAGUUCCCAAACAGGCUGACUUGAUUUAUGGAGACAUGAAGCUUCCUACCCUUAUCAUGACAACAGAGACCUCCUUAACUGCCCUCAAGUGACAGCAAACAUGGCGGAUCCUCCUCACCCUAAUGGAGGAUGAAGAGAGGCAAGGAUUAUAGAGAGGAGAGAGCCAUCCACAGGGCUUCUUCAACCAUCUGCCUGAAGGAGUUAUAAUUAAGAGAUUGCCUUGAGUCCCAGGAAAGACUUUGGACUUUUAAACAGCAGUGAGACUGUGAAGGACUGUGGGGACUUUUGAAGUUGGAAUAAAUGCUUUGCACAUUAUGAGAUGGCUACUAGUCUAUGGGGGCCAGGGCAUUGAAUGUGGUGGUUUAAAGGAAAAUGUCCCCCCUCCCUGCCCAGGCUCAUACAUUUGAAUGCUUUGUCUGUAGUUGUUUGGAAAGGAAUAAGAAGAG